AAACUUACAGGCCGUACAACAAAGAAAAGCAAUGCUGGCCUCACAGUUCAAAAUGAGAGUGGUGUGCUCAAAGUGUUUCUUCGAAGGCCACAGCUGGAAGUUUCCGAGUCCGAGAUACUCACUAAUAUGGAACAAGCUAUGUUUAGAGAAGAUGAGGUGAAUAUAAGGCCGCUCCGCGUCUCUGUGUUCAUACGCUUAGGGAGCAGACAGCCAUCCCG
rnacentral:lncRNA from 1 species